GGCUUGGUGGUUUGGUGGUUAGCAUGUUUGCCUCACACCUCCAGCGUUGUGGGUUUGAAUCCCACCUCCGCUC